UGGAGGUUCUGGAGCGGGUUUCUUCUAUCCUCAAGGAGUAUGGGUUUUGCCCAACUGGAGAAAUCGUUGAUGUUAAGAACCUCUGCCCUUACAACUGCUGCGUAAUGUCUGAUGAAGAGUUAUACCACCAAGGGCUUAUAAAUUCAACCAAGGGAGUUACAGGAACAGAUAAUCCGUGUGCUACAGAGGAAGAAGUACA